AGAGUUUGAUCAUGGCUCAGAACGUACGCUGGCGGCACGCCUAACACAUGCAAGUCGAACGCAGUAGCAAUACUGAGUGGCAAACGGGUGAGUAUAAUGUGGGAAUCUGCCUUUUGGUUUGGAAUAACACGGGGAAACUUGUGCUAAUACCGAAUAAGCCCUUACGGGGAAAGUUUUAACGCCGAAAGAUGAGCCUGCACUUGAUUAGCUAGUUGGUAAGGUAAAAGCUUACCAAGGCAACGAUCAAUAGCUGUUCUUAGAGGAAGACCAGCCACAUUGGGACUGAGACACGGCCCAGACUCCUACGGGAGGCAGCAGUGGGGAAUCUUGCACAAUGGGGGAAACCCUGAUGCAGCGAUGCCGCGUGAGUGAAGAAGGCCCUUGGGUUGUAAAACUCUUUCGUCGGGGAAGAAAAUGACUGUACCCGAAUAAGAAGGUCCGGCUAACUUCGUGCCAGCAGCCGCGGUAAUACGAAGGGACCUAGCGUAGUUCGGAAUUACUGGGCUUAAAGAGCUCGUAGGUGGUUAAAAAAGUUGAUGGUGAAAUCCCAAGGCUCAACCUUGGAACUGCCAUCAAAACUUUUUAGCUAGAGUGUGAUAGAGGUAAGUGGAAUUUCUAGUGUAGAGGUGAAAUUCGUAGAUAUUAGAAAGAACACCAAAUGCGAAGGCAACUUACUGGGUCACUACUGACACUGAGGAGCGAAAGCAUGGGUAGCGAAGAGGAUUAGAUACCCUCGUAGUCCAUGCCGUAAACGAUGUGUGCUAGACGUUGGAAAUAUAUUUUUCAGUGUCGCAGCGAAAGCAUUAAGCACACCGCCUGGGGGAGUACGACCGCAAGGUUAAAAC
rnacentral:rRNA from 1 species